UACGGAGGGUGCGAGCGUUGUCCGGAAUCACUGGGCUUACAGGGUGCGUAGGCGGCGGAGAAAGUAGGGUGUGAAAUGCCUUGGCUCAACCAAGGCACAGCGCUCUAAACUACCUUCGCUCGAGUGAGUCAGGGGUACGCGGAACUUCCGGGUGGAGCGGUGAAAUGUGUUGAUAUCGGGAAAGGAACACCGGUGGCGAAAGCGGCGUAACUGGGGCUUAACUGACGCUGAGGCAC
rnacentral:rRNA from 1 species